GCUAAACAGCUAGCCCCCACAAUUGGUUAACACCACAAUAUAAAUACCCCUACACAACCUUACCAAAUUAAACAAACCAUUUUUCCCCCUUAGUACGGGCGACAGAAAAGGGAAUACGAGCAAUAGAAAAAGUACCGCAAGGGAAAGCUGAAAAAGAAAUGAAACAACCCAUCCAAGCUUAGAAAAGCAGAGAUUACCCCUUGUACCUUUUGCAUCAUGAUCUAGCCAGCAAACCUUAGCGAAGAGACCUUUAGUUAUGGCCCCCGAAACUAGACGAGCUACUCCGAGACAGCCUAUCUAGGGCCAACCCGUCUCUGUGGCAAAAGAGUGGGAAGAGCUCCGAGUAGAGGUGAUAAACCUACCGAGUUUAGUUAUAGCUGGUUGCUUAAAAAAUGAAUAGAAGUUCAGCCCCCUGGCUCCUCCAACCUUUUAAGUUUAUCUUACUCCGGCCCUGAGGAAACCAGUGGAGUUAGUCAAAAGAGGUACAGCUCUUUUGAACAAGGACACAACCUUACUAGGUGGUUAAGGAUCAUAUUAAACAAGGUGUUCUGCUUCAGUGGGCCUAAAAGCAGCCAUCUAUGCAGAAAGCGUUAAAGCUCAAACAGACUACAAACCUUUUAUUCUGAUAAACUCUCCAACCCCCUUUUUUUAUUAAGCCACCCCAUGCCCCCCCCCUGGGAGCGACUAUGCUAGAAUGAGUAAUAAGAGGGAACGACCCUCUCCCAGCACAUGUGUAAGUCGGAUCGGACCCCCCGCCGAUUAAUAACGAACCCAAAAAAAGAGGGUAAUACAAACUAAGUAAUACUAGAAAAACACGUACAUUUAAAUCGUUAACCCCACACAGGAGUGCCCCCAGGGAAAGACCUUAAGGAGAAGAAGGAACUCGGCAAACUCAAGCCUCGCCUGUUUACCAAAAACAUCGCCUCUUGCAAUCCAAGUAUAAGAGGUCCCGCCUGCCCUGUGACCUUGUGUUUAACGGCCGCGGUAUUCUGACCGUGCGAAGGUAGCGCAAUCACUUGUCUUUUAAAUGAAGACCUGUAUGAAUGGCACGACGAGGGCUUAGCUGUCUCCUUCUCCCAGUCAAUGAAAUUGAUCUCCCCGUGCAGAAGCGGGGAUUAACCCAUAAGACGAGAAGACCCUAUGGAGCUUUAGACAAAAGGCAGACCACGUUUAACCCACCUCUUCUAUAGGACUAAACACAGUGCCCCCUGACCUUAAUGUCUUUGGUUGGGGCGACCGCGGAGGAAAACUAAGCCUCCAUGUGGACCGGGAGAACCCACUCCUAAAGUCAAGAGCCACAGCUCUAAGCAACAGAACUUCUGACCAAAAAUGAUCCGGUAACACCGAUCAACGAACCAAGUUACCCUAGGGAUAACAGCGCAAUCCCCUCCCAGAGUCCCUAUCGACAAGGGGGUUUACGACCUCGAUGUUGGAUCAGGACAUCCUAAUGGUGCAACCGCUAUUAAGGGUUCGUUUGUUCAACGAUUAAAGUCCUACGUGAUCUGAGUUCAGACCGGAGUAAUCCAGGUCAGUUUCUAUCUAUGAUGUAACUCUCCCUAGUACGAAAGGACCGGGAAAGAGGGGCCCAUGCUCUAAGCAUGCCCUGCCCCCACCUGAUGAAAACAACUAAAACAGAAAAGGGGGUACACCCCAAAAAGCCCAAGAGAACGGCGC
rnacentral:rRNA from 1 species